UACACUCCUGCGGGAGGCAGCAGUGGGGAAUAUUGGACAAUGGGCGCAAGCCUGAUCCAGCCAUGCCGCGUGAGUGAUGAAGGCCCUAGGGUUGUAAAGCUCUUUCACCGGAGAAGAUAAUGACGGUAUCCGGAGAAGAAGCCCCGGCUAACUUCGUGCCAGCAGCCGCGGUAAUACGAAGGGGGCUAGCGUUGUUCGGAAUUACUGGGCGUAAAGCGCACGUAGGCGGAUCGAUCAGUCAGGGGUGAAAUCCCAGGGCUCAACCCUGGAACUGCCUUUGAUACUGUCGAUCUGGAGUAUGGAAGAGGUGAGUGGAAUUCCGAGUGUAGAGGUGAAAUUCGUAGAUAUUCGGAGGAACACCAGUGGCGAAGGCGGCUCACUGGUCCAUUACUGACGCUGAGGUGCGAAAGCGUGGGGAGCAAACAGGAUUAGAAACCCGAGUAGUCCCAUGAU
rnacentral:rRNA from 1 species